GCGAAUGAAGGCAACUGAACCAGAAACACAUAGAUUUAAUUGAGGUUCCAAGUUGCAGAGCUUUCGACAAUAAGAUGUAGGCAUCAACAGGGUAAAGUAAAGCUAAUUUCAUCACAUACCAAAACCAAAAUUUGUUAGCCAUACCAAUGGCUAACCAUACAUUCAUUUCACAUUAACAUCUAAUUUACUAGCUUAUACAUGCCAUUGAUUUCCAAAAUAAAGUUCCUUUAUGUACCGAGACCUCGAGAUUGAUAGUGUGAUGUGUCUCCGACCAAAUCCGACCUGCGAGCUUUUAACUCUACAAACAGGGAAAAAAGAAACAGGGUAAGCACUUUGUGCUUAGUAAGUUCAUGCAACAGGAAUUAUACUUACUAUACUUAUACAUCCAUCAUUUAAUAACACAAGCACACAUCCAAUUCACAUAAACAUGUACCUAUCACAUACAAACUCAACCUCAUACAAAUUCAUUACAAAGAUAAAUGAUUGAUGAGCUCAUCAAUUCCAUGAUUUCCAUUUCCUUGUUAUUUUUCCAUAUUUAUCCCGUUGAACUACUUGGAAUUUCGAUGGAUUUUCAGAGGUACACCAAAGUGUACAAAUUCUGGGUCCGUCAAUUCAUAUUCAUGUGCGCACAUUUCCAUUUCAGAGAGCACACUCCCGCGAACCUCAUCCUUACAGCGGGAUUACCAGUCCAGGCUAAAUCCCCUGUAAUAUAAACUCACAGAGUUUGUCGGGAUUACCAGUCCAGGCUAAAUCCCCUGCAACGACAAUUACUCUAAUGAGCUUGGAACUGAAUUACCAAUCCAGGCUAAAUUCAAACCCUAAUUCGGAUUACCCGUCCGGGCUAAAUCCAUUUUCCACAUAUUCUUCGGGAGGGCUAUAUCAGGAUAGGAUCACCCGUCCGGGCUAGAUCCUUUUUACCGUCAAUUCCUUUUCAGAGAUCCAUCGAAUUUUCCUUUCAUUCAACCGGGAUUUAUUUCCUCUUUUCAUCAAGUAUAUCAAUACUUCAUCAAUUAUCAUACAAUAAACAUACAACUCAUAUUCACAACAAUAACAAACAUUUCAAGCAUUUAAGAAUAUAAUUCAAGUUACACAAACUUACCUCGACACUUGUUCGUAACCAAAAAAUCUACUAAUCCCGAACUUUUUCUUUUCCUCGAUCUUGCUUCGUAUUUGAAUUUUCC
rnacentral:lncRNA from 1 species